rnacentral:lncRNA from 1 species
GGUCAGAAAGGGGUGGCGCGGCGCUAGGCUAGCUAGGGUUUCAGAAAAGUUGAAACCUUAGUUUGACUAAUGGGUCUAUUGUUUCGGGUCUGGGCCUAGGGUUUGUAAUUUGGGUUGGUUUUGUUUGGGCCGUUCGAGUUUGGGCCUGUUAUUCUUAUUUUGUUUAUUUUUUGGGUUUUAUUUUUGUAUUUUAUAUUUUUAGCAUUGGGCCUGGGCUGAAUUGGCCCACAAUAGCUGCCCCUCUUUGUUCAUUGUCGUAUAACGAGAAUAGAGCAAAGACUUUAAAAGGGUCAAUUCUGACUGGUCUCGUCGGGUCUUGACUUCUUUGGGUGCUUCUCUUCUUUG